UUACAGCCAUAUCACGUUGAAACACCGAUUCUCGUACGAUCACUGAAGUUAAGCAACGUUGAGCUUGGUCAGUACCGAGAUGUGAGAGCACCUGGAAAUACAAGGUGCUGUA